rnacentral:rRNA from 1 species
UACAGAGGGGGCAAGCGUUAUUCGGAAUUAUUGGGCGUAAAGGGCGCGUAGGCGGCUUGGCAAGUGGAAGGUGAAAUCCCUCGGCUUAACCGAGGAACUGCCCUCCAAACUGCUUUGCUUGAGGCCGGGAGAGGUGAGUGGAAUUCCCAGUGUAGCGGUGAAAUGCGUAGAUAUUGGGAGGAACACCAGUGGCGAAAGCAGCUCUCUGGGACGGUACUGACGCUGAGACGCGAAAGCGUGGGGAGCGAACAGG